rnacentral:rRNA from 1 species
UACGAGGGGUCUAAGCGUUGUUCGGAAUCACUGGGCGUAAAGCGGGUGUAGGUGGCUAUGCAAGUUGGAUGUGAAAGCCCCGGGCUCAACCCGGGAAGUGCAUCCAAAACUACGUAGCUUGAGUGCGGGAGAGAAAGGCAGAAUUCCUGGUGUAGUGGUGAAAUACGUAGAUAUCAGGAGGAACUCCGGUGGCGAAGGCGGCCUUUUGGCCCAGCACUGACACUCAGACCCGAAAGCGUGGGUAGCAAACAGG